GAUGAACGCUAGCGGGAGGCUUAAUACAUGCAAGUCGAACGGUAACGAUGGAGCUUGCUCCAGGCGACGAGUGGCGAACGGGUGAGUAACGCGUACAUAACCUACCUUUUACUAGGGGAUAGCCUUGGGAAACUGAGAAUAAUACCCUAUGGUAUCUGACAAUUUUAUGGUGGUCAGAUUAAAGCUCCGGCGGUAAGAGAUGGAUGUGCGUCUGAUUAGCUAGUUGGUAAGGUAACGGCUUACCAAGGCGACGAUCAGUAGGGGGCGUGAGAGCGUGGUCCCCCACACGGGUACUGAGACACGGACCCGACUCCUACGGGAGGCAGCAGUAAGGAAUAUUGGACAAUGGGCGCAAGCCUGAUCCAGCCAUCCCGCGUGCAGGAUGACGGCCCUCUGGGUUGUAAACUGCUUUUGGUAGAGAAGAAACGCCUGAAUUUAUUUGGGUCUGACGGUAUCUACAGAAUAAGCACCGGCUAACUCCG
rnacentral:rRNA from 1 species